UGAAGGUGGAAAAUAGAGCUUGAAAAGUGGAUGUAAGCUUCAAACUCUCUCACACCAGUUUUUAAGAAACGACGAGGAUGAGAACUACUACACUUUCAAAAUCCAGAAGAAUCCGCAAGGGGAGUUCGCUUCGUGGAGUAUCAGCUGAAUGGACGUCCAACUCCUGAUUUUCCAUGUCAAUGAAAAUAUUGAGAAUAUUAAUGAUUAUUAUUGGACAUUACGAGCAGAAGAGAUUUUGGCACUGUGAUGUAGGGUGGGACUGACACUGUAUUUUCUUCCCAUGAAGCAUUUGUGACUAACCUAUUUUUUAAACACUGAUAUUAUGCAUAAUGUCUCAUUUUAAAAUGAAUGUUGGCUUUCAGUAUGUGAUGGUUUCAAAAUUAAAAGUUUCUCUUUUUUUUUAAACUUUGCACUCAAGGUUUUGUUGACAUCAUCUGCUCUAUGCUGAAUCAUGGAGAGUCCGGAAACACAAAUGAGUUGGAGAAUCGAGCACGAAGAAGGAGGGGAUAGCAACGUCGUUGCUACCGGUAGUAAAAUAUAAGUAAAUCUAUAAUUGAAAGAAUUAAUUUAAUAGGUGGUUUAUUCCCGAUGUAUCUGGUUUUUAGAAUCCUAGAAGCUGUAAUGACCACAAGGUGAACAUGUGGUUGAUGUCUCAUAAGAGUUAGACCUGUCAUUUGUUUGUUCAAAUGUGGAUAUUAAGUGUAAUUUGUGAUAAUCCUAAUUUGUUGUUGCAAGAUGUGAGUGUACAUUUAAAUUAGGAGUGUCCUCCCAUCACCAUAUUGUGCAUUAAGGAUAGGAGGUUUUAAAUUGGUAACAGGAACUGUCGUCUUAUCGUACACCCCUGAGAUCAAUUUCAGCCGUUGUGCCACCAUUUGAUAUUUCUUGAAGUUGCAGAUUCCAUAAAGGCUUCAAGUGAUUGAAGCUGCUCUGUUAGUGAUUGUUUUUCAGUUAUAAACUACAAAGCAGGGACAAACCAAAGUCGUCGAUACCGACACCAACA